rnacentral:misc_RNA from 1 species
UUAAGUUCAGCGGGUAUUCCUACCUGAUCCGAGGUCAACCUAUAGUGCUUUUUAGGGCAUUUUUACGGCAAGGGAGGGCCUAUACCACAGGCGAUGUAAUAGCUACUACGUCUGGGGUGAAGACCUACUCCGCCACUGAAUUUAGGGAGCUGCAAGGACAUCCUAGCGGUCUCCCAACACUAAGCGACAGAGGCUUAAGG